GGACCGGUAGUUCAGCAUGGUUAGAACGCCUGCCUGUCACGCAGGAGGUCGCGAGUUCAAAUCUCGUCCGGUCCGCCA
rnacentral:tRNA from 1 species